CCAGAUAAAUCAUCAUCUACGUUUACAUCACUAUCGCCUACCCCACUAUAUUAGCUUUCGAUUCAGAGAAAAUCUUAUAGUUCGGAAAAUCAACUUCGUAAGCUGGCUGAGCUCCGUCUUGAGGUGUGAUUCACGAUACAUACGAACGAGCUCAGAUAUUAUAUGCCGAUCUGAUGAAAAACAUAAGUCUUCGAGUUAAAGUCCCAGGGAGAUCAACAUCACUACCCGUUCACCUGCCCGAAGCGCCAACAAAAAACCAACAAGGUAUUCUGAAGGGCAAUGGAACAAGUGAAGGCAACACCAGAAAAUUGGGGAAAUAUUCUGAAGAGCAAUGGAACAAGUGAAUGUUAGCACCACAAAAGU
rnacentral:lncRNA from 1 species